AACGAACGCUGGCGGCAGGCCUAACACAUGCAAGUCGAGCGGACCUUUCGGGGUCAGCGGCGGACGGGUGAGUAACGCGUGGGAAUAUGCCCUUCUCUACGGAAUAGUCCCGGGAAACUGGGGGUAAUACCGUAUACGCCCUUUGGGGGAAAGAUUUAUCGGGGAAGGAUUAGCCCGCGUUGGAUUAGGUAGUUGGUGGGGUAAUGGCCUACCAAGCCGACGAUCCAUAGCUGGUUUGAGAGGAUGAUCAGCCACACUGGGACUGAGACACGGCCCAGACUCCUACGGGAGGCAGCAGUGGGGAAUCUUAGACAAUGGGGGCAACCCUGAUCGAGCCAUGCCGCGUGAGUGAUGAAGGCCUUAGGGUUGUAAAGCUCUUUCAGCUGGGAAGAUAAUGACGGUACCAGCAGAAGAAGCCCCGGCUAACUCCGUG
rnacentral:rRNA from 1 species